CCCAACCCCACUGCCUCUCUCCUCUCAUCCUCCACCGGUCCACACCUGGGCAACCCAAGUGCGCCACUGUACUGUUCUCGUGGCAUCUCCUGCCAUCUUGGAAUAGGAAUCAGAGCGGGAAGACACUAGCUGCAGGCCCAAAACACAGCAGACUUUGAAGAUAGGAGAUAGGAAACAGAGGGAUAAAAAAUCCCAGAAUGAGCUCUUUUAGUCCUUCCAAAAACCAUUCUUAUCGUUCUCUCAUCAGGAAGCUCCUUCCAUGGACCUUUUAUGCUAUCAUCCCUUUGGUUUUCUUCCGCUUGUAUUUCUACCCUUGCACUGUUUCUCACUCCAACCUCAUUCUCAUCUCCUCCUCUCCCUUCUCUUUUUCUCCCUCUACUCUAGAAGAGGAAAGUGCUAAGGAAACUACUCCAUGUGACUACACCAAUGGCGACUGGGUCCGUGACGAGAGGGGCCCUUUGUACAAUGGCACUUCCUGCGGUACAAUCAAGGAAGGCCAGAAUUGCAACUCCCACGGCAGGCCAGAUAUGGGUUACUUAUACUGGAGAUGGAAACCAAAGCAAUGCAAGCUUCCAAGGUUUGACCCCGACACAUUUCUUCGACUCCUUAGAAAUAAGCAUUUAGCAUUUGUUGGUGACUCCAUGGCUAGGAACCAACUAGAGUCACUUCUUUGUAUGCUAGCCACUGCCUCUGCCCCUAAGCUUGUUUAUCGAGAUGGUGAGGAUAACAAGUUUCGCAGAUGGCGUUUUGAUUCUCAUAAUAUAGAUAUAUCUAUAUAUUGGUCACCCUUUCUAGUAAAAGGUGUGGAAAAAUCAAAUGCUGGUCCAAAUCAUAACAAAUUGUAUUUAGAUCAUGUUGAUGAGAGGUGGGCAGCUGAUAUGAACGGAUUUGACUUGAUUGUUCUUUCAAUUGGGCAUUGGUUUCUACAUCCAGCAGUGUAUUAUAAGGGUGAUUCUAUUCUGGGUUGCCAUCACUGUCCUGGUCUUAAUUACACUGAAAUUGGAUUUUAUGAUGUCUUGAGGAAGGCUUUAAAAACUACACUAAAGACUGCAAUUGAGAGAAGAGGGGGCGGUUCUAAUGGCAAUGGGACUAAAGUGAUUCUUACUACCUUUUCACCUUCACAUUUUGAAGGUGACUGGGAUAAGUUUGGUGCUUGUCCAAAAACCAAGCCUUAUCAGGAGGGAGAUAAAUCACUUGAAGGAAUGGAUGCAGAGAUGAGAAAAAUUGAAAUCGAAGAAGUUGAAGCUGCAAAGUUGAGUGCUAUGCAAUUUGAUUAUCUAAGAUUAGAGGCACUGGAUGUGACCAAACUAUCGCUAAUGAGGCCGGAUGGUCACCCAGGACCUUAUAUGUAUCCAUUUCCAUUUGCUAAUGGUGUAACUGAGCGUGUGCAAAAUGAUUGUGUGCAUUGGUGCUUGCCAGGGCCUAUAGAUACCUGGAAUGAGAUAUUACUGGAGGUGAUUAAGAGAUGGGAUUAUCAGUCAAUAAGAGAAGAAUGAGUGAUGACAAUGUGCCAACAUAGAGGGUUUGUCUUUGUGCUAAAUUUUGAUCCAUUUGGGUGGUGUUUAUUGCUCUUGAAGAGAGACAAAAGGAAAGGAGACAACUAGAUAAGAGAGGUUAAGUUGUGCCAAGAAUAAUGAGAUUUUGGAGUAUCUUUUGGUUUUUGUUAAAUGUACAAAUGAUAUCAAUGUGAAGUAAAUAUUAACAAAUGAUAUCAAGGAAACCUUGGCAACAUUCCAAGUGAUUGGGACCUUCCAUUUUGUCUACAGAGCAGUUUCUUUUGGAUGUGAGUAUGCAUCUUGCUUAACCGUUCCAACUUUUAUCCCCUUUUUUUAUGAACCAUCCAAUCUUUU
rnacentral:misc_RNA from 1 species